rnacentral:rRNA from 1 species
GUGGCAAGCGUUGUCCGGAUUUAUUGGGCGUAAAGCGAGCGCAGACGGUGCGGCAAGUCUGAUGUGAAAGCCCGGGGCUCAACCCCGGGACUGCAUUGGAAACUACCGAACUAGAGUGUCGGAGAGGUAAGUGGAAUUCCUAGUGUAGCGGUGAAAUGCGUAGAUAUUAGGAGGAACACCAGUGGCGAAGGCGGCUUACUGGACGAUGACUGACGCUGAGGCUCGAAAGCGUGGGGAGCAAAC